AGAAAGGGAGAAGCAGAGGACAUUAUUCCCUGGAAGCGGAAGCACACAAGUGAGCAUAUAUGAGAUUCAUAGCUGCUUUUCGGUGAGAAUUAAGAACAACCACUCGACUUCUGCCAACUGACUCUCUUUCAGGAUCAAUUACUUUUUUUUUCAAAAUGGACACUGAUCAGAAGAAUCAUAAUAUACUUUUCAACACAAACUACUCAAUUCGUUCCAGUCCAAAUUGUCUCAUCCAAAAGAACA